rnacentral:rRNA from 1 species
GUAGGUGGCAAGCGUUGUCCGGAAUUAUUGGGCGUAAAGCGCGCGCAGGCGGUUCUUUAAGUCUGAUGUGAAAGCCCACGGCUCAACCGUGGAGGGUCAUUGGGAACUGGAGAACUUGAGUACAGAAGAGGAAAGCGGAAUUCCACGUGUAGCGGUGAAAUGCGUAGAGAUGUGGAGGAACACCAGUGGCGAAGGCGGCUUUCUGGUCUGUAACUGACGCUGAGGCGCGAAAGCGUGGGGAGCAAACAGGGAUUAGAUACCCUGGUAGUCCACGCCGUAAACGAUGAGUGCUAAGUGUUAGGGGGGUUUCCGCCCCCUUAGUGCUGCAGCUAACGCAUUAAGCACUCCGCCUGGGGAGUACGGCCGCAAGGCUG